CGGUGAAUACGUUCCUGGACCUUGUACACACCGCCCGUCAAGCCAUGGAAGCUGGGUGUACCUAAAGUCGAUAACCGUAAGGAGUCGCCUAGGGUAAAACUAGUAACUGGGGCU
rnacentral:rRNA from 1 species